GUGAGGAAUAUUGGUCAAUGGACGAGAGUCUGAACCAGCCAAGUCGCGUGAAGGAAGACGGUUCUAUGAAUUGUAAACUUCUUUUGUGCAGGAAUAAAGUGGGUUACGUGUAACCUUUUGUAUGUACUGUACGAAUAAGGAUCGGCUAACUCCGUGCCAGCAGCCGCGGUAAUACGGAGGAUCCGAGCGUUAUCCGGAUUUAUUGGGUUUAAAGGGUGCGUAGGUGGAGUGAUAAGUCAGCGGUGAAAGUUUGCAGCUUAACUGUAAAAUUGCCGUUGAAACUGUCGGUCUUGAGUGCAAAUGAGGUAGGCGGAAUGUGUUGUGUAGCGGUGAAAUGCUUAGAUAUAACACAGAACUCCGAUUGCGAAGGCAGCUUACUGGGAUGCAACUGACACUGAUGCACGAAAGCGUGGGUAUCAAACAGGAUUAGAAACCCCUGUAGUCC
rnacentral:rRNA from 1 species